GAGUUUGAUCGUGGCUUAGGAUGAACGCUGGCGGCGUGCUUAACACAUGCAAGUCGAACGAAGCGCUUUGGAAAGAUUCUUCGGAUGAUUUCCUUUGCGACUGAGCGGCGGACGGGUGAGUAACGCGUGGGUAACCUGCCUCAUACAGGGGGAUAACAGUUAGAAAUGACUGCUAAUACCGCAUAAGACCACGGUACCGCAUGGUACAGUGGUAAAAACUCCGGUGGUAUGAGAUGGACCCGCGUCUGAUUAGGUAGUUGGUGGGUAACGG
rnacentral:rRNA from 1 species